rnacentral:rRNA from 1 species
UUACAGUAGUCGCCCGGGUUGCCGCAAGGCCUCCCGGGUAACCUACCACCCUUUGUUUAUUACACUUUGUUGCUUUGGCAAGCCUGCCCUCGGGCUGCUGGCUCCGGCCGGCGAGCGCUUGCCAGAGGACCUAAACUCUGUUUGUCUAUACUGUCUGAGUACUAUAUAAUAGUUAAAACUUUCAACAACGGAUCUCUUGGUUCUGGCAUCGAUGAAGAACGCAGCGAAAUGCGAUAAGUAAUGUGAAUUGCAGAAUUCAGUGAAUCAUCGAAUCUUUGAACGCACAUUGCGCCCCCUGGUAUUCCGGGGGGCAUGCCUGUCCGAGCGUCAUUACAACCCUCAAGCUCAGCUUGGUGUUGGGCCCCGCCGCCCCGGCGGGCCCUAAAGUCAGUGGCGGUGCCGUCCGGCUCCGAGCGUAGUAAUUCUUCUCGCUCUGGAGGCCCGGUCGUGUGCUCGCCAGCAACCCCCAAUUUUUUUCAGGUUGACCUCGGAUCAGGUAGGGAUACCCGCUGAACUUAAGCAUAUCAAUAAGCGGAGGAAAAGAAACCAACAGGGAUUACCUCAGUAACGGCGAGUGAAGCGGUAACAGCUCAAAUUUGAAAUCUGGCCUCACGGUCCGAGUUGUAAUUUGUAGAGGAUGCUUCGAGCAUGGUCUGGCCUAAGUUCCUUGGAACAGGACGUCAUAGAGGGUGAGAAUCCCGUAUGCGGCCAGGUGCCUACGCUCAUGUGAAGCUCCUUCGACGAGUCGAGUUGUUUGGGAAUGCAGCUCAAAAUGGGUGGUAAAUUUCAUCUAAAGCUAAAUAUUGGCCAGAGACCGAUAGCGCACAAGUAGAGUGAUCGAAAGAUGAAAAGCACUUUGGAAAGAGAGUUAAACAGUACGUGAAAUUGUUGAAAGGGAAGCGCUUGCAACCAGACUUGCGCGCGGCCGAUCAUCCGGUGUUCUCACCGGUGCACUCGGCCGUGCUCAGGCCAGCAUCGGUUUUGGCGGCUGGAUAAAGGCCCUAGGAAUGUAGCUCCUCUCGGGGAGUGUUAUAGCCUAGGGUGCAAUGCAGC